GACGGAGGAUGCAAGUGUUAUCCGGAAUCACUGGGCGUAAAGCGUCUGUAGGUGGUUUAAAAAGUCCACUGUUAAAAAUUGAAGCUUAACUUCAAAGAUGCCGUGGAAACUUUUAAACUUGAGUAUGAUAGGGGUAGAGGGAAUCUCCAGUGGAGCGGUGAAAUGCGUAGAUAUUGGAAAGACCACCAAUGGCGAAGGCACUCUACUGGGCCAUUACUGACACUGAGAGACGAAAGCUAGGGGAGCGAAUGGG
rnacentral:rRNA from 1 species